rnacentral:rRNA from 1 species
AUUGAACGCUGGCGGCAGGCCUAACACAUGCAAGUCGAACGGUAACAGGAAACAGCUUGCUGUUUCGCUGACGAGUGGCGGACGGGUGAGUAAUGUCUGGGAAACUGCCUGAUGGAGGGGGAUAACUACUGGAAACGGUAGCUAAUACCGCAUAACGUCGCAAGACCAAAGAGGGGGACCUUCGGGCCUCUUGCCAUCGGAUGUGCCCAGAUGGGAUUAGCUAGUAGGUGGGGUAACGGCUCACCUAGGCGACGAUCCCUAGCUGGUCUGAGAGGAUGACCAGCCACACUGGAACUGAGACACGGUCCAGACUCCUACGGGAGGCAGCAGUGGGGAAUAUUGCACAAUGGGCGCAAGCCUGAUGCAGCCAUGCCGCGUGUAUGAAGAAGGCCUUCGGGUUGUAAAGUACUUUCAGCGGGGAGGAAGGGAGUAAAGUUAAUACCUUUACUCAUUGACGUUACCCGAAGAAGAAGCACCGGCUAACUCCGUG